AUGGUCCAGCAUUUGACAUACCAUCAUAGGCUUUCCUACAACACAGCCUCUAACAAAAUUUGGCUGUCCCAAACCCCUGGUAACAGGAUUAUUUACCUUUAUACCAAGUUUGGGAAAUCACCAAAAACUGUGUGUGGUAUAAGCCCAGGCAGACUUCAAGGGGUUUCUGCUGUGAGACCUAAAGUCCUCAAGAGAUUGUCCGAAACAAAAAAACAUGUCAGCAGGGCCUAUGGUGGUUCUAUGUGUGCUAAAUGUGUUCGUGACAGGAUCAAGCGUGAUUUCCUUAUUGAGGAGCAGAAAAUCGUUGUGAAAGUGUUGAAGGCACAAGCACAGAGUCAGAAAGCGAAAUAACCAUGAGACUUUUUUAAGUAAUAAAAACCACAGCUUGUU